AAAGGAAUUGACGGGGACCCGCACAAGCAGCGGAGCGUGUGGUUUAAUUCGAGGCUACGCGAAGAACCUUACCAGGGUUUGACAUGUACGUGGUAGGAAGCUGAAAAGUGACCGACCCUUCGGGGAGCGUACACAGGUGCUGCAUGGCUGUCGUCAGCUCGUGCCGUGAGGUGUUAGGUUAAGUCCUGUAACGAGCGCAACCCUCGUCGUUAGUUAUACGUGUCUAACGAGACUGCCGGUGAUAAGCCGGAGGAAGGUGGGGAUGAUGUCAAGUCAGCAUGGCCUUUAUAUCCUGGGCUACACACACGCUACAAUGGCCGGUACAAUGGGUUGCCAAGCCGCGAGGCGGAGCCAAUCCCCCAAAGCCGGUCUCAGUUCGGAUUGUAGGCUGCAACUCGCCUGCAUGAAGUCGGAGUUGCUAGUAAACGCGCGUCAGCAACAGUGCGUUGAAUACGUUCCCGGGUCUUGUACACACCGCCCGU
rnacentral:rRNA from 1 species